UCUACAACUUGCAAUACCAAAAACUUUCAAGAUCUUUCUUCAUCUGUUAUUCGAAAUCAAUUAUAGCAUGCAUGAUACAUAUAUAUUUAAGUAGCAAAUCUAGAAAAUGGGGUGGAUAUAUAGGAUAGUAGUUCAAAACAUAUUUUUAUAAGUUUAAUAUAUCUAUACCUUGCUUACAGUCAAAGUUCACUAGCUUAAUGGUAUUGCUGUUUGACACUGUAACCUCAUUUAUUAAGUUGUCACGGUAGUCCUUGAUAAUGAAGAGCUCGAAUGCCAUUUAUGAUCCCUAAAUACGUACAUAACCACAUGAAAAAUCAAACAAAAAAGUUGGUCUUUUUAAAUAAAAUAAAAAAAAAAUUAAUGAAAUAAACAACUAGUCUUGCUACUUGAAUGGGGUAAAGAAUUCUUUUGUCACCAUUAGAAUUAUACUUUCAAAUAUUAUGGCAGUAUGGCCAUUUUGGUAGUCUACAUCAGCUUCUUCUGCUUGCAUUUUAUAAAAUCAUAGUCAUUGGAAAUUGAUCUCUGUAGACCAAGGUGUUAAAGCAUGGAAUCAUAGUCCUUGUAACAUCUUUUUAAAAUAAAAUAAAGUCAUAAUCAUAAUAAAUACAUAAAUAUAAUAAAGCAGCAUAUCAGAACACAAUUGGAAGAAAAAAGGGAUUAUACAUUACCCGGUAAAACUUUCUCAUAAUGUGAAGUUAUUCUCUCACAAUAUGUCACACACAGUCUUUGAAACUCCAAAACCUGAUGGUGUUUGGGAAGUACUUAUUCAGGAAUAGUUCCUUGAAUUGCUCCCAAGUUAAGGUUGAAAUGUCGUGAGUACUUUUCAUCAGUGAUCAACUUCAUCAUCCAAUUCAUAUACAGCUAGUGCAAUUCGGUCGGCUCGUUCCCAUUGUAUCCAACAUUUUCUCAAUCUAGCGGAGCCAAUUCUCCUCUACUCUCAGGUUUGGCAUGUGAUUUCGUGUAUCCAUUGUCUAUUGAACUUUAACUUCCAAGAUUAAUUAAAUUACUCUUAAGGAAUCGCCUUUGUAAGAAGAACACAAUUUAAUUGACAAAUUAUGAACAUAAUGGUGGAUGCCAAUGACUACCCAAAAACGAGCAACCAUUGCAUAGAUAGAGGAUGGGCCAUUGCAGGAACUGAAAAUCCCUAAUCAUUUUGGAAACCAAAUUUUGGAAGAAUUAGGACAACAGUUAAGGGGGAAUAGGCAGAAUAAUAGGAUCCAUCUUUUCUUGGAGUUUAGAAAGUCAAGGACCUCUAGGGGUUCCUGAUUACAAAUCUAAGCUUGGUUGUUUCUGGACCAGUCAAGGACCUCUUCUGGGUCGUUGUCCUGGGAUGAGCUAAUUGCUUGCCCCGAUGUAAAGCAUGGUGAGAUCGCUGACUGGGCGGAACCCUAGUUCUCAGCUUGUGGAAUGUGCCAAAACCGUAGCCCAUUCUAUAAAUUUUUGGUCGUCUUUCUCAAGCUCGAGUGCAUGCUUGAGGGCCCGAUACUGACUCUUGAGUUGGCAUCGGAUCAUAGGCCCUCUUUUGAUCGGGGGUGGGAUUCACUUCCUCGUAAACUUUUUUACCUCUUCGAUUACACCUGAGGUCAUAAAUUGCGGGUCAAGAAGUUCAAUGUGGUGUUGACCCAGAGAGGUCGUGGUACCAGACGUUUGUAUCAGAGCCUAAGUUCAACACUAUUAUUUAAUAUGCUCUAGUUAUCUUUUUCCUUAUACACUAAUGUAUUACUAUAACACUAUUAUUUAAUAUUAACUUAAAAGAGACUAAUAACAGAUUUCCUUUCUUUAACGUAUGAUAAGUUGUGACGCCUCAAAUCCAAGGGUUAAUAUACCGAAGGUCAGAGGAGUCAAUAACCACUUUAGAUAAUAAGUAACGCGGAGAUAGAUAAUAAUUACAAUGUUACAAAUUUUAAUUAGUGUAACAAAACGGUUUCUAACUUCGUUUAAGAUGGCUUCAAAUGUCUUCGACUCCUCGUCAGCCCCAUAUGAGGUUGGAAUGCCCAGUAAACAUGAUGAACAAGUAAACAAUUAGAGAGUUACAAGGUCGGUAACGUACCGUGUAGCGCGAAUGCCUUUACCCCGAAUGCCUUCUACUGUUACGUACCGCGUGUAGCGCCAACCGAGGACCUCUAAAGAGACGGUAAAAGAGCCUUGCCCAUUCCUUCCUUGCAUCCUUACACCAAGCACCUAGGGUCCGAAUAUAACCAAUCCAGUCAAGAGUUUCGAAAUACCACUUGCGCAAUACUUUACUUCAAAUAGUGAACACGUCCCGCCAACCAAUUCAAUUCAAUUCAAAUACAACAUUAUCUCAUAUCAUUAUUCAAUUGAUCGAAACGCAGUUACCACCGCAAUUAAGUUUUAAGUUAGAACAAAAUUAUCAAGAUAAUAAUUUCUAUAUAAGCAUGAGUAUCAUCAAAGGUCUAUUGUAAGGAACGUAACUAUAACAUAUAACAUAUGCAAAUAUCAUAUCAAGACACAUUUUUAGAUUUUUCCUAAACCUGGCCUUUCCAUAAUUUUUAUCUAGUUUUUAGAAUAUUUUUCAGAAGUGGCAUAGCUUUUCUAGAUUUUUAGUUAUUUAAAAAAUACUCCAGUGCUGUCUAGAUUUGUACCUAUUAAGAGAAAACACAAGAACACAAUUAGAACACAUCUGAAAAUAAUGUUUAAAACCUCUAAGAACAUGGUAUUUGAAAGAGCAAAAUAAAAGGUACGGUGGUAAUGUGGCUGGCUGGUUAUUUGCACAAUUUCUCCUCUCCACCACCAAACUCUCUCUCUCUUUUUUCUCUCUCAGCCGUUGGAGUAGUGUGUGUGUAUGUGUUCAACAAGUGGGGAUGAGCGUAUAUUUAUAGAAAAAAAAAUGGUAAAAAGACUACCCUUGGUUCCAAUUAAUUGAAUAGUGCUUUGAUUUAGUUUAAAUAUAAUGGAAUGAGGGAUUAGGCUUAGGUCUAAUUUAAUUCCUUCUAAUUAUAAGUACAUGCAUAUAUUUCAAAAAACUUUUAACUUCACUUAACUUUCUCAAAUUAUUGCCAAUAUCAACUGAUAUUGGUAAAGCUGCCUUUUGCAAUUUGAAUUUGAGUUCAAACUUCUUAGAAUUUGAUUUGGAACCCAGUUUGACUAUAAACCCUACCAACUUUACAUGGCUUAAAUGAAUUAUAAACCCUAAUAAGUUUGUUCUGAAAGCAUAAAUUUGAGGGUAUAGCCUUUUUGCACACUCCUCACCGGAGUGAAAAGCAUGGGUUUGAUUUGGAAAAAUAGUUUCGUCUCCAUCAGUUUGGGAUUGUUCUUUCUUUCUUCCUCUUUUCUGGUUUGAGGUAGGGAAUUCUUUAAUGUUUUACAUGAUAUUUAGCUUCAUUAUAUGCUCCUUGAAUAGUGUAGCACUUUGAGGGAUUUGGGUUUGAUUUGGAUUUGAUUUGGGUUUAAUUUAAAUUGAUUUAUAAAAGAGGGGUUUUGGGAUGGUUUCCUUUGAAAUGUUGUUGGAAUGAUUUUGUUGAUGAAAAGUAUUGGAAACUACGAAAAUUGCUUUUAAAUGAGGUUUUUUGAAAGAAACAGAUGUUUGAAAUUAUGGAAAUUUGGAGAUUAUUAGCUUAAACAAUAUAGGAAAUGGAUGAAAUCUUAAAAGAAUGUUAUUAUUCUUGUUUGAGUUGGAAAAGAGGAGAUUUUGGAAUUUAUAUCUAUCACUUGGAAUUUAUCUUUUGAAUAGAGAUAUCUGUUUUGGUUAUCGUGGAAGAUAGCAUUGCUGCUUGUAGAAAUUGCAUAUGAACUACGUUAACGAAAACCCACUGCAUAUGUUUUACACUCGUUUUGAGAAAAUUGAGUGAAAUAUCUUAGUGAAUCUGGUUAGGGAUAUGGUUAUGGUUAAUUAAGUUGGCCUUUGUGUCAUUGUUGAAAGUUCAGAAUUUUGUGUGGUUAGGAUGCGAUUCUUCCGGUUAGUUGCCAAUAAAGUAGCUUUGGUAGUACUUUUAUAGUCUACUUGCAGACACGUACCUAGAGAUUCCUAGAGUGUGUAUUUACUGCCCUGUUUUUUGUUUUGGAAGCAAUGGUUUAUAAACUGUGAUAUAAACUUGGCAUAGUAUUGUUUUGAAAAAGAGAAAGCGCAUGUUUUAUAAUAGCAUUUCGUAUGCAUCAUACAGAUCAUUAAAUUUAUAUCCACUGGGCAUUAGGUCACCCUAUGUGGAAACAACUUUUAGGUGCUAAUAGUAUGCCUCUGCCAAGGGCUUUAUUUUGUAAAUUCGUUUUGUAUAAGCCUAAGGCUUUAUAUUUGUAUUGGGUUUCAACCCACUUUUGUAGUAACCAAGCAAUGUCUUGAUUAUUUGUUUCUUUUGUUUCUAUAUAUUUGUCACAUGCUCUAGAUUCAUAAUCUAGGAUUGGUGGAUGUAUUAUUCAUAAUGCAUGUGACGUCUUUUGUAUUAUUUUUUUAGGAAAUCAAUGAAUGAAAGGUAGUUCUGGAAAUGUUGGUCACGUAAAUAAUUGAGAUUAAUCAGCUUCCGCAUGUAUGUUUGAGAGUAAUGAGGUAUAUCGAUUGUUGUUAUUUUCGGGGUGUUAUUGCCAUCACUUUAGUUUUUGUUUUCCUUUUCCUUUCUUGGACUCAUGGUUCUAAUAGGUUUUGUAUUAAUAGAGAGUAAAGUUGUGUUAACCAUUUGCUAGUUGGCUUGGCAAUGAUAUAAAUAUAUCAAUUAAGGCUGGUAUAGUUUUCGUUUUUUUAUUUGUGGUUUUCUUAUUUGAACUUCCUUGAAGAAAAUAUUUGAAUUUUUGGAAAUAUUUUUUGGUGUACUUUUCUUCUGUUAGAUGCCUUUUCUCUACAAAAUUUAAUUGUAUUUGCUUAUAUGGAUUAAAAAUCUGAUCCUAAUAUUUUUGGUUGUGCUUUUUCUCUUCUUUUUGUUUUUGGGGGUGCUUCUUUUUUUUUUUUUUGUGUGUGUGUUUUAUUUGACAUCCAUAACUACUGUCAGGAGUUCUAUUUUUCUAGCAGUUGGUUUCUUACCUAUUGAUUUUUAUAUUUAUCAAUUUGUAUCGUUUUGUUAUUAUUAUUAUAUUUUUCUCUAUUUAAAAAAAAAAAAAAACUCGUUUGCGGAACAUGUCCAAUGAUGAAUACGGAAGUGUGGAGCAUUGAGUGUUACCCCCAUGAGGAGCUGCGUGUUUCGAUUGUAGUUUUCUUCAACUCGAGCAAUAGACAGAGAUUGGACGAACCAUUGCCUGAGCCAGUGUCGCCGGAGAAAAGCUCAUUUUCGACAAUUUACAAUAUCAGAUUACAUGCAAAGGUUCUUCAGUAAAGAGUUGGAGGGAAAGACCUUCACAAAUUACUAUAGGCUUUGAAACACAAGAUAGACUUGCAUGUAUGAUUUGUGUCAUAUAAACAAUAAUGAUUGUCAAUGUUAUUUGUGAAAUUAUGCAUUUAUAAUUGUCAAUGUUGAAUAAUUUAUUCUCAA